GGCUGCAGCAGCCCAGCGCGAUGAGGCAUUCCUUGUUCUUGGCCCCUCCGCUCCGUCCCCGCGGUGCAAAGUUCCGGAUCACCAUUUUUUGCAUGUGCAUCGCUCGCAGCCGGACACAAACCGCUCCCCGGCGAUGGAGACUGCGGGAAAAGCCCGGCGCGGCGGGAUGGCUUGCUGAAACUGCGGCGGCUGCGGGGAGAGAGGCAGAGCGGCAGAGAAUAGGCAGCAAAUCCUAAAGCAACAGCAA
rnacentral:lncRNA from 1 species